rfam:Triticum urartu cultivar G1812 contig546942, whole genome shotgun sequence.
UCAGUACUCCCUCUGUUCGAAAAAACUUGUCGCAUAAAUGCAUAAAAAUAGAUGUAUCUAUAAUUAAAAUACGUCUAGAUACAUCCAUUCCUUUGACAAGUAUUUUUAGACGGAGGGAGUUCAUU